GUUGAAUGUGUCUGUUUAGAAACAUCCUGAAGUCCAGCAGCGCAAAGACUAUGAAGAUGAUAAAGGAAACCCACCUGAGGACUGCUGUAGUGACAAGUGUUACCGUUGCUGUCCAUGCCUGGACAUAGACACAUCCCAGGGUGGAGGAAGGGUCUGGUCCAACUUCAGGAGAGCAUGUUGCUCCAUCAUUCAACACAAAUACUUUGAGUACUUCGUCAUGUUCAUCCUCCUGCUGAGCAGUGCAGCUAUGAUGUUUGAGGACAUUUACCUGCAUCAGCGUCCGGUCUUAAAGGAGAUCCUGUUGAGAGCAGACCAGGUGUUUACCCUCCUGUUCCUGAUAGAGAUGCUUCUCAAGAUCAUCGCCUUCGGACUCAAGAAAUACUUCACCGACGCCUGGUGCUGGCUCGACUUCCUCAUCUUA